UAGUAAAAUUUUAAAAGUAUAUUCUGCCCUAUGAUUAAUUAAAUGGCUGCAGUAUUCUGACUGUGCAAAGGUAGCAUAAUAAUUAGUCUUUUAAUUGAGGACUUGUAUGAAUGAUUGUAUGAGAUAUUUAUUUUAUUAAUUAAAUUAUUAGAAUUUAAUUUUUAUGUAAAAAAGCUUAAUUUAUUUUUCGGGACGAAAAGACCCUAUAGAACUUUAUAUUUUUAUUUAUUAUUUUAUAUCAGUUUAAAUUUUAAAAUUUUAAUAUUAAAUAUUUUAUUGGGGUGAUAAAUAAAUUUGACUUUAUUAUUUUAAAUCAUUUAUUUAUGUAAAUUUGAUCCAUUUUUAUGAUUAUUAGAUUAAGUUACCUUAGGGAUAACAGCGUAAUUUUAAUGAGGAGUUCAUAUCUAUAUUAAAGUUUGCGACCUCGAUGUUGAAUUAAGAAAAAAAUUUGGGGUAG
rnacentral:rRNA from 1 species